rnacentral:tRNA from 1 species
AUUUAAGUAGUUUAAGGAAAAACAUUAGUUUGUGGAAUUAAAAAUAUGUAAUAAAUACGUCUUAGGUU